UCUGGCAGGCUAGGUCUGUAAGCUGCUGAUACAGGAAGUUCAAGAGGACGUUUAUACGAGCCGCUGAGCUGACACCCAGUAUUUUCCGCUCAACAAUGUUUUAAACCAUGUCUCAAAUUAGCAGAGAGCUGAUCCAGGACAGACACAGAGAGAUUGCCCUCUCUACCCUCUGGCUGUAUCUUUCUACCCUCUGGCUGUAACCCCCGCAGAGGGAGGGCCGGACGGGGAAAAGAACAACAAUGUGUCUGUCCCAGUGAUGACAUGGGUGCCUGGACUGCAUGUGCAUGGGUGCCUGGACACAUGACACGCUCUCAUUGAGCAACGGAAACAUGACGUAAGGGUCACUGCCAGACAACGAAAAAGAGAGAGAGAGAGAGAGAGAGAGAGAGAGAGAGAGAGAGAGAGAGAGAGAGAGAGAGAGAGAGAGAGAGAGAGAGAGAGAGAGAAAUGAUGAGAAAUAAAGAUUCCUCUUACCAUCUAGGGACACCCUGGUUUGAACUUAAUCUGUGAGGCCUAUUCCAUCAGAACUUGUGGGAUUGAAUGGACUGAUUGAAUAGCUAGAAACCUCAUUCUGGGUUUCUGGCUAUUUCAAAAUGUGUUAAUUUAGACAUAUCCUCCCAACCUCUUUACGAUUUAGUAUUAAAUAAAGCCGUCUUUAUUCAACCCAUA